rnacentral:rRNA from 1 species
GAUGAACGCUGGCGGCGUGCCUAAUACAUGCAAGUCGAGCGAACGGACGAGAAGCUUGCUUCUCUGAUGUUAGCGGCGGACGGGUGAGUAACACGUGGAUAACCUACCUAUAAGACUGGGAUAACUUCGGGAAACCGGAGCUAAUACCGGAUAAUAUUUUGAACCGCAUGGUUCAAAAGUGAAAGACGGUCUUGCUGUCACUUAUAGAUGGAUCCGCGCUGCAUUAGCUAGUUGGUAAGGUAACGGCUUACCAAGGCAACGAUGCAUAGCCGACCUGAGAGGGUGAACGGCAACACUGGAACUGAGACACGGUCAAGACUCCUACGGGAGGCAGCAGUAGGGAAUCUUCCGCAAUGGGCGAAAGCAUGAAGGAGCAACGCCGCGUGAGUGAUGAAGGUCUUCGGAUCGUAAAACUCUGUUAUUAGGGAAGAACAUAUGUGUAAGUAACUGUGCACAUCUUGACGGUACCUAAUCAGAAAGCCACGGCUAACUACGUG